rnacentral:tRNA from 1 species
UGGAAUGUGGCUUAGUGGUAGAGUGCUUGCCUAGCAUGUAUGAAGCCCUGGGUUCAAUUUCUCAGUAUCACAU